rnacentral:rRNA from 1 species
GAUCAUGGCUCAGGAUAAACGCUGGCGGCGUGCCUAAUACAUGCAAGUCGAACGCCGGACACCUAGCUUGCUAGGGAGAAGGAGUGGCGAACGGGUGAGUAAUACAUAAGCAAUCUGCCCACAAAGACUGGGAUAACCUCUGGAAACGGGGACUAAUACCGGAUAGGUAGGAGAGAGGCAUCUUUCUUCUAUUAAAGAUGAGAAGCACUAGUGGAUGAGCUUAUGGCGCAUUAG